rnacentral:sRNA from 1 species
CCUGGCGUGGUGGCUGGCGCCUGUAGUCCCAGCUACUCGGGAAGUUGAGGCUGAACCCGGGAGGUGGAGCUUGGAGUGAGCUAAGAUUGUGCUGCUGCACUCCAGCCUGGGCCACAGAGCGAGACUCCAUCUCAAAAACAAAAACAAACGAACAAAAAACCCAGCAAAAUUAACUUGGAUGUUGUCAGAGAAAAGAGCAGGAGAAUUUUGUGGUUUCUAGAUAAUAAUGGCAUAAAUAAUAAUUGGUGAUCAUCUUGGAGGAGGAACAGUCUUUCUUUUUGGAAAACGUGGGUGUUUCUCUCUCCCACCCUGGACAUGAACCUGUGCUUUGAUUUAGGGGCUGCUUGCUCUCGGUGACUACAUGAAUGUCCAGUGCCAUGCCUGCAUUGGAGGCACCAAUGUUGGUGAAGACAUCAGGAAGUUGGAUUAUGGACAGCAUGUUGUUGCGGGCACUCCAGGGCGUGUUUUUGAUAUGAUUCGUCGCAGAAGCUUAAGGACACGUGCUAUCAAAAUGUUGGUUUUGGAUGAAGCUGAU